GCCUGACUGGCUCAGUCAGUAGAGCAUGUGAGUCUUGAUCUCAGGGUUGUGAGUUUAAAUCUCACUUUGGAUG
rnacentral:tRNA from 1 species